rnacentral:rRNA from 1 species
UACGAAGGGUGCAAGCGUUACUCGGAAUUACUGGGCGUAAAGCGUGCGUAGGUGGUUCGUUAAGUCUGAUGUGAAAGCCCUGGGCUCAACCUGGGAAUGGCAUUGGAAACUACCAAGCUGGAGUACGGUAGGGGCAGGGGGAAUUUCCGGUGGAGCGGUGAAAUGCGUAGAGAUCGGGAGGAACACCAGUGGCGAAGGCGAUCUUCUGGACGGAUACUGACGCUGAGGCGCGAAAGCUAGGGGAGCAAACGGG